rnacentral:rRNA from 1 species
GUUAUAGGUAGCAGAACGCUCUGAAAAAGACAUAAUGGAAACACCCUCAGAGUUGAGACUGCUGACAUUAGUAACCCCAAAUGGAUAUCAUGGCCGUAAGUCCAAGGUUUUAAAUAACAGUGAAUACGGUAUAAAUAAAAUAAUAUAAAU